UACGUAGGGUGCAAGCGUUAAUCGGAAUUACUGAGCGUAAAGCGUGCGCAGGCGGUCCGUUAAGACAGAUGCGAAAUCCCCGGGCUUAACCUGGGAACUGCAUUUGUGACUGGCGGACUCGAGUAUGGCAGAGGGGGGUAGAAUUCCACGUGUAGCAGUGAAAUGCGUAGAGAUGUGGAGGAAUACCGAUGGCGAAGGCAGCCCCCUGGGCCCAAUACUGACGCUCAUG
rnacentral:rRNA from 1 species